GUAGGGUUUGGUGUAAUUUCCACUUUUUCUUAAUUUUUAGUGGGCUUGGUUUCUUUGGGCUAUAUCUAUUCUAAUUGUUCUGGGCCAAAUUGGGAUUAUCCCUUUUGGACAGAUUUCACAAAUGCACUACCAACAAACCAUUUUUUUAAAUUUUCAUUCUCGAUUCUACAAAAUUUUUUACGAAACUUUUCAUUUGCUUCUCUUCGAAGGAAGUUUGAUUUUUCCUGAAUGAAGAUAUCAUUUUUUUAUUUUGUGCCGAAUCAAUUUAUAAAUCACAAAAUGAAACAGGUAAAACCAAAGGGCAUUAAAAGUAUUGAUAAUUAUUUUUUAUUGGAAAAAUAUCAUUUUUCCAUUUGUGAUAUUCCAUAUCACACUUUUGGUAAUACAUGUUUAUUUAUUUUUAAGUUUACACAUUUUUGGUUAAACUAGAUCUCAAGAAUGUAAAAAGGGGUGAAGGGUUUCUUCUCAAACAUUAAAUAAUAUGUUGUAACAAAGAGAAUUCAAUAACACAAUUCAAAUAUUUUCUUCUUUUCAUUUCUUCCUCAUAACAUUCUUUUGGAUAUUGAUACAUAGUAUGGUUUCGUAACAUGCACAGGAUUUUUCUUGUUUACGUUUAGUUCUUGAUCAUUCUGUUGUUCAAGAACAUUAAACUAAACCAUUAACAAGCCUAAGAAUGGCUCCAAGAUCCCAAAAACAUUAUAGUCCUCAUGGGAUCUUCUGUACCAGAUCUCUUGUUUCUUCUUUCCAUUUCUUGGGAAACCGAAACCCUCCCUAAUCUACUAUAACUUUUAGGCUUUGCAGUCAUGGCUACAAUAGUGUUAUCACGUACUUCCCUUAGCAUUUCUCCCAGACGACGUUUAGACUCGUGGAAAAAAGAGCCGUCUUCGGGGAGAUUUUGAGGCUUCAUCUUCGAAAAAUUUGAUGGAUAGGGUAAGAUAUUGAAGCUUGAAAGUAAUCCUCUUUGAAAUUUAUAGGAUUUUGGGAGUGGACAGAAGAGAAUAAAUUAUAAGGCACAACAAAGUGCUACGUUAUAUUCUUG
rnacentral:lncRNA from 1 species